UACGUAGGCAGCAAGCGUUGUUCGGAGUUACUGGGCGUAAAGGGUGCGUAGGCGGCUAUUUAAGUUUGGUGUGAAAUCUCCCGGCUCAACUGGGAGGGUGCGCCGAAUACUGAGAGGCUAGAGUGUGGGAGAGGAAAGUGGAAUUCCUGGUGUAGCGGUGAAAUGCGUAGAUAUCAGGAGGAACACCGAUGGCGAAGGCAGCUCGCUGGGACGUGACUGACGCUGAGACGCGAAAGCGUGGGGAGCAAACAGG
rnacentral:rRNA from 1 species